ACCCAGACUCCUACGGGAGGCAGCAGUGGGGAAUAUUGCACAAUGGGGGGAACCCUGAUGCAGCGACGCCGCGUGAGCGAAGAAGUAUCUCGGUAUGUAAAGCUCUAUCAGCAGGGAAGAAAAAUGACGGUACCUGACUAAGAAGCCCCGGCUAACUACGUGCCAGCAGCCGCGGUAAUACGUAGGGGGCAAGCGUUAUCCGGAUUUACUGGGUGUAAAGGGAGCGCAGGCGGCGCGGCAAGUCUGAUGUGAAAGCCCGGGGCUCAACCCCGGGACUGCAUUGGAAACUGUGCAGCUAGAGUGCAGGAGAGGUAAGUGGAAUUCCUAGUGUAGCGGUGAAAUGCGUAGAUAUUAGGAGGAACACCAGUGGCGAAGGCGGCUUACUGGACUGUAACUGACGUUGAGGCUCGAAAGCGUGAGGAGCAAACAGGAUUAGAUACCCCGGUAGA
rnacentral:rRNA from 1 species